rnacentral:rRNA from 1 species
GACGAACGCUGGCGGCGUGCUUAACACAUGCAAGUCGAGCGGUAAGGCCCUUUCGGGGGUACACGAGCGGCGAACGGGUGAGUAACACGUGGGUGACCUGCCCUCAGCUCUGGGAUAAGCCUGGGAAACCGGGUCUAAUACUGGAUAUGACUCCAUGACGCAUGUUGUGGGGUGAAAGCCUUGUGCGGCUGAGGAUGGGCCCGCGGCCUAUCAGCUUGUUGGUGGGGUGAGGCCUACCAAGGCGACGACGGGUAGCCGGCCUGA